GGAAGAGAGCGGCGGACGGGUGAGUAACGCGUGGGUAACCUGCCCUGUACACACGGAUAACAUACCGAAAGGUAUGCUAAUACGAGAUAAUAUGCUUUUAUCGCAUGAUAGAAGUAUCAAAGCUCCGGCGGUACAGGAUGGACCCGCGUCUGAUUAGCUAGUUGGUAAGGUAACGGCUUACCAAGGCGACGAUCAGUAGCCGACCUGAGAGGGUGAUCGGCCACAUUGGAACUGAGACACGGUCCAAACUCCUACGGGAGGCAGCAGUGGGGAAUAUUGCACAAUGGGCGAAAGCCUGAUGCAGCAACGCCGCGUGAGUGAUGAAGGCCUUCGGGUCGUAAAGCUCUGUCCUCAAGGAAGAUAAUGACGGUACUUGAGGAGGAAGCCCCGGCUAACUACGUGCCAGCAGCCGCGGUAAUACGUAGGGGGCUAGCGUUAUCCGGAAUUACUGGGCGUAAAGGGUGCGUAGGUGGUUUCUUAAGUCAGAGGCGAAAGGCUACGGCUCAACCGUAGUAAGCCUUUGAAACUGGGGAACUUGAGUGCAGGAGAGGAGAGUGGAAUUCCUAGUGUAGCGGUGAAAUGCGUAGAUAUUAGGAGGAACACCAGUUGCGAAGGCGGCUCUCUGGACUGUAACUGACACUGAGGCACGAAAGCGUGAGGAGCAAACAGGAUUAGAUACCCUGGUAGUCCACGCCGUAAACGAUGAGUACUAGCUGUCGGAGGUUACCCCCUUCGGUGGCGCAGCUAACGCAUUAAGUACUCCGCCUGGGAAGUACGCUCGCAAGAGUGCAACU
rnacentral:rRNA from 1 species